rnacentral:sRNA from 1 species
AUGUGUGAUUUCUAAAAGGAUCAUGCUAAUGUGUCUUGGUAAUAGAGAUUCUUAAACAAAUUUAAUUAAUUACCCAAUAUUUACUAAAAAGUUAUUGAAACUACAACCAGAUUUGGUCUUAUAAUAUUUGUAACCCAAUACCAAAUAAAAAGAUUUGGGGCUUAAUGUUAGGGGUUAGAUUUGGGCUUGCUUUUCCCAAGGCCCAAAUCCAAGUCAAAGGCCUAAGCAGAAUGUUAAGUCAAGAGGGUAGGCUCGUCAAAACCCUGGAGGAAUGCCCUACACGCAGAAGGCUAUAAAUACGGAAUAGCAUGUCUUGUCAAAGGGGGGGAGGACACUUAGAGACAAAGAGAAGCUCGUCAGCUCUCCCGUCUAACCAGCUCGUCAGCUCACCCGUCUGAAGCGCCUCGUCAGCCGGUCCGUCUCAAGUAGCUCGUCAGCUCUCCCGUCUAACCAGCUCGUCAGCUCACCCGUCUGAAGCGUCUCGUCAGCCGGUCCGUCUCAAGUAGCUCGUCAGCUCUCCCGUCUAACCAGCUCGUCAGCUUACCCGUCUGAAGCAUCUCGUCAGCCGGUCCGUCUCAAGUAGCUCGUCAGCUCUCCCGUCUAACCAGCUCGUCAGCUCACCCGUCUGAAGCAUCUCGUCAGCCGGUCCGUCUCAAGUAGCUCGUCAGCUCUCCCGUCUAACCAGCUCGUCAGCUUACCCGUCUGAAGCAUCUCGUCAGCCGGUCCGUCUCAAAUAGCUCAUCCGUUCGCCCGUCGCAAGCAGCUCGUCAGCUCACCCGUCCGAAGUAUCUCGCCAGCCGGUCAAUCUCAAGUAGCUCUUAGUUCGCCCGUCUCGUCAGCUUACCCGUCUGAAGCAUCUCGUCAACUGGUCCGUCUCAAGUAACUCAUCAGUUCGCCCGUAAGCAGCUCGUCAGCUCACCCAUCCGAAGUACCUCGUUUGCCCAUCCAUCCUGAGUAGCUCGUUUACUCGUCCGUCCGAAGUGUCUCGCCAACUUGCCCGCCCAAAGUAACUAACCUACUCGCACGUCUCGAGAAGCCAUUCAACUCGUCACUUAUCCGCCGGAUCAUCCCUAAAACUGCCUAACUCGACAUACGACCUUCCUCCAGUAAUGACCUAGCUCGUUUAUCGCGAUAUGAACUACGUGUGGCUUGAUCCCUUUCUAAGGGUACGUAGGCAGCCUUUUACAAGGUUCAGCUAUCAAGAUCGUUCUUCCGGCCUCAAGCUCGUCUUUCAUCUACUAUCAAGAUCGUUCUUCCGGCCUUAAGCUCGUCUUUCAUCUACAAUCGGCUCGUUCUUCCGGCCUCAAGCUCGUCUUUCAUCUACAAUCGGCUCGUUCUUCCGGCCUCAAGCUCGUCUUUCAUCUACAAUCGGCUCGUUCUUCCGGCCUCAAGCUCGUCUUUCAUCUACAAUCGGCUCGUUCUUCCGGCCUCAAGCUCGUCUUUCAUCUACAAUCGGCUCGUUCUUCCGGCCUCAAGCUCGUCUUUCAUCUACAAUCGGCUCGUUCUUACUCUAUUCGCCUAAGUCGCGGGCUCGUCAUUAAUAGAAAGAUUCUUCUUCCUUCCCUAGAGAUCCCAUUUUCGUACUUGUUUAAUUCGUGCAUUAACAC